CCCCUCAAUCCACUCAAUGUACCUUCGUUAGAUAUAGUCUUGAGCAUAAAGGGUAUAUGGAUGCUAUGAUACUGUUUCUCAGUGCAUGCAUUUUUCUCUAUAUAUUUCACAAGCAUCUUCCUUUCUAUGAUCCCUCUCAUCAUCCACUUGCUCUUGCCUCACCUUCCACUCCUCAACUUGUCUUUGUUGAUCUCCCUUACAUGACAUGUUACCCCACUUGGUUCAUCUUGCUUAGUGUGUUUCUCUCAACCCUUCUAGCUCUUCUACUCGUGACACGUUUGCCUUAUCCACAAAUACUCCUCAAUGUGAUGGCACACAAGUUGCGCUAUUGGUUUGUGAUUCAUUACCAAUAGUUGCUCCACCGCCUAGUCUUGUUAUCCUUUGAAGCCAUUGCGUUGCUCCUGCUAAACUCACUUGUGCUACUCAAUGCUUUUCACCAGAGUUCCAUGCUUUUAUUUAUUUUGCUUGUUAUUCACUCCUAUCAAGGGCUUCUGAUAUUUAAAGUGGUUGUUAAUAUAAACUAGCAAUGUUUAGCA
rnacentral:lncRNA from 1 species